UACGUAGGGCGCAAGCGUUAUCCGGAAUUAUUGGGCGUAAAGGAGCUCGUAGGCGGUUUGUCGCGUCUGCUGUGAAAACCCGAGGCUCAACCUCGGGCCUGCAGUGGGUACGGGCAGACUAGAGUGCGGGUAGGGGAGAUUGGAAUUCCUGGUGUAAGCGGUGAAAUGCGCAGAUAUCAGGAGGAACACCGGUGGCGAAGGCGGGUCUCUGGGCCGAUACUGACGUGAGGAGCGAAAGCGUGGGGAGCGAACAGG
rnacentral:rRNA from 1 species